GGUGGCUCAGUGGUAGAGUGCUUGCCUUGCAUGCACGAGACCCUGGGUUCGAUUUCUCAGCACCA
rnacentral:tRNA from 1 species